GCUAGUAUAGUUCAGCGGUUAGAACCUGUCUUUCAUACAGACGUAACGUAAGUUCAAUUCUUACUACUAGCC
rfam:Microbotryum lychnidis-dioicae p1A1 Lamole unplaced genomic scaffold supercont1.89, whole genome shotgun sequence.